rnacentral:rRNA from 1 species
UACGAAGGGGGCUAGCGUUGUUCGGAAUUACUGGGCGUAAAGCGCACGUAGGCGGGUCGUUAAGUCAGGGGUGAAAUCCCGGAGCUCAACUCCGGAACUGCCUUUGAUACUGGCGAUCUAGAGAUCGAGAGAGGUGAGUGGAAUUCCGAGUGUAGAGGUGAAAUUCGUAGAUAUUCGGAAGAACACCAGUGGCGAAGGCGGCUCGCUGGCUCGAUACUGACGCUGAGGUGCGAAAGCGUGGGGAUCAAACAGG